GGCUGUGUGCACCAUGGCCUGGACUCCUGUCCUCCUCGUGCUCUUCUGUCACUGCACAGGUUCCCUCUCCCAGCCUGUGCUGACUCAGCCGCCCUCCCUCUCUGCAUCUCCGGGAGCAUCAGCCAGACUCACCUGCACCCUGAGCAGUGGCUUCAGUGUUGGCAGCUAUGCCAUAUACUGGUACCAGCAGAAGCCAGGGAGCCCUCCCCGGUAUCUCCUGAGUUUCUACUCAGACUCAGAUAAACACCAGGGCUCCGGGGUCCCCAGCCGCUUCUCUGGAUCCAAAGACCCGUCGGCCAAUGCAGGGCUUCUGCUCAUCUCUGGGCUGCAGCCUGAGGACGAGGCUGACUAUUACUGUGCUGUAUAUCACAGUGGUACUGGUCACAGUGACACACACAGAUGGGGAAGUGGGACGAAAACCUCAAUCCUCUCGUAG